rnacentral:tRNA from 1 species
UCCCCAGUAGCUCAGUUGGCAGAGCGAGUGGCUGUUAACCACUAGGUCCGCGGUUCAAGCCCGUGCUGGGGAGCCA